GGUGUUCCCAGGUGUGUCAGUGUGGUGCAGCUGGCUGCUUCUGCUCCCAGACACUCCCUUAACUCAGUGGUUUAAGAAACUCUACCUGCCCCUUAACAGUAGGGUGACUGUGGCCACGUACGUGAAAGGGAAGGAGGAGGUAAUAUCUCUGUGGCAGGUGUAUCAGGUCUCCCCCAGCACGAAGAAGAUGGUCUUAGCAUCUGGCAAGUGGUCUCUGAGAACCCCUGCGUCAGGAGAAGAUGGCUGGACCAAGGGUUACCUCAAGCCAGGAGAGAGAACUGAAGCGAGGGAGAUGAAUUACGGGGUGAUGGAGGGAGUGAAGGAAGACCCAUUAUUGAGACGGACAGAUCUUACUGGUCUCCACCUGUCCUGCACCACCAUUCAUGCGUUCCCUCACACUGUACUGAAGGCUGGCAGCGACGGCAUCGUUACUGUGGAUGGCAUCUUUGGCAGCGUCCUCAAGUUACUUCAGGAGAUUACCAACUUCAC